rnacentral:rRNA from 1 species
UACGUAGGGGGCAAGCGUUGUCCGGAUUUAUUGGGCGUAAAGAGCGCGUAGGCGGCCAUACAGGUCAGCUGUGAAAACUCGAGGCUCAACCUCGAGACGUCGGUUGAAACCGUAUGGCUAGAGUUCGGAAGAGGAGAGUGGAAUUCCCGGUGUAGCGGUGAAAUGCGCAGAUAUCGGGAAGAACACCGGUGGCGAAGGCGGCUCUCUGGGACGGUACUGACGCUGAGACGCGAAAGCGUGGGGAGCGAACAGG